UUGAAGUUGAGAGUCAAGGAAUGAGCUCACAGCCUGAAUUCAGAGCCUGUGCUCCAACUCUUGCUACUCAAGUGCAGUACACUCGCCAGAAGCAUUGGUGUCAUCUGUGAGCAUGGACAAUUUCAGGCCCCAACUUACCAGACCUGAAUUUUAAAGACAUCAGUAGUGGCACCAGACUUGGAGGCUAAACAGCUCAAAAGACACAUGAUGAAGAGGAAGCACUGCUGUUUUUCUCAAAAGAUAAGUAUCACUGGAUAUGUGGGGAUUUUUCGGUGGCUCAUGGACACGGUAUCACAUGGCACAGACUGAGAACAUAACUCCAUUUUCAAUUUCUUUCAGUCCUCUGAUCAACCAUGAUCAGGGAUAUUAGAUACUGUUUAUUUCUUGUACCAGUCUACUACCACUGUCUUUUUUUUUUUUUUU